rnacentral:rRNA from 1 species
AGGAAAAGAAACUAACAAGGAUUCCCCUAGUAGCGGCGAGCGAAGCGGGAAGAGCUCAAAUUUAUAAUCUGGCACCUUCGGUGUCCGAGUUGUAAUCUCUAGAAAUGUUUUCCGCGUUGGACCGCACACAAGUCUGUUGGAAUACAGCGGCAUAGUGGUGAGACCCCCGUAUAUGGUGCGGACGCCCAGCGCUUUGUGAUACAUUUUCGAAGAGUCGAGUUGUUUGGGAAUGCAGCUCAAAUUGGGUGGUAAAUUCCAUCUAAAGCUAAAUAUUGGCGAGAGACCGAUAGCGAACAAGUACCGUGAGGGAAAGAUGAAAAGCACUUUGGAAAGAGAGUUAACAGUACGUGAAAUUGUUGGAAGGGAAACGCUUGAAGUCAGACUUGCUUGCCGAGCAAUCGGUUUGCAGGCCAGCAUCAGUUUUCCGGGAUGGAUAAUGGUAGAGAGAAGGUAGCAGUUUCGGCUGUGUUAUAGCUCUCUGCUGGAUACAUCUUGGGGGACUGAGGAACGCAGUGUGCCUUUGGCGGGGGUUUCGACCUCUUCACACUUAG